rnacentral:lncRNA from 1 species
AUGGUAAGAGUUGCCUUCUCUAUUUCAUCCUAUUUCUAAAAGGCUUAUGUGGAGUUCAAGGUAGGGAUGAAAGGAGAUAGCAUACUUACUUUGCAUGUAUUGCGAAGUCAAAGCUCGGAUCCUUGAAGAGAAGUGUCAUACUCCCAGAUCAAGAUGUGCAAGUGUGAUAUAUGGUGGACUAGGUUGCUCCUUUAUUUGAUAGACUCUCUAUGUAUUGAGACAUGGCUAGCAUUUUUUUCUUCUUUUUUUUUAUAUAUGAGCUUUCAUGUGCUCAAUUUUCUUUUUCUGUGGACUUGCACAUGUCCAUCUUUUUAUUUCAUUUUGCCUAGCCCUUUUGAUGUCUCAUUUACCAAAUAAUGCUUAGAGAGAUGUUCUACCAUUUAGAGUAUGGAGCAACCUAUUUAGUGGAUGCGAAAUACAUGUGGUUGCGUACUUCCAGUGUAGAAGCAGCAUAUAUAUAUAUGUGGUGUGUACGUGAUCUUGAUCUUAGGAGCAUGAAAAGUCUCUUAACAAGGGUCAAUAAGACUUGACGACACUCAACACAAAGCGAAUAGCUUAUGUGGAAAGGUUGCAAUUAUGUAAAGUAGAUAUGGCUGUGGUAGGAAUUCAUCACCAUUGAGGAACAAUUAAGGUUUUGAUCAUUUUAAGAAUAAAUCUCUGAUAAUCAUGCAUGCUUAGAAAAAUAUUAUAGUAGCUCUUGUCUUACUAUCUCAUGUCCCACAACAACUUAGACUUAGUUCUAGCACUUGCAACCCACAAAGUUUUUAGGUUCAUGGCAGUUUAAGUGAGCUAAGUGAUCCAUACUUAGAGAAAUACUAAGUUGUAUACUAGGCACUAGAGAAACAUUAACAAGCAACUAGUCAUAAUUUCCAUGAGGGAUAUAAACAUACAUGAAGCAUAUAUGCUAAAGGGAAAUGCUAAUAAAUAUUUAUUUAUUAUUUUUUUUAAGUAAGAAUGAUAAAAUGCAUGAAAAUAAAUAGGAUAGAAUACUUACCUUAGUGGGGGAGAGGAUCUCCCCCAAGCUAGAUCUUCGCUCACUGUGGUGGCGGGAAAUUUUGGUACCAUCCAGCCCAGCGUUGU